UGGCCGCUGGGGGCGCGGCCGGACCCGGGCGGAGCGCCCGUCCCCGCGGCCCUCCGUGCAGGGCAGCCACCAGACCUCGGACUUGCUGAUACUCACAAGUUGCACGGCUGUCGCAGUCUGGCUCGGGAGUGCUCCCGUCAGCACGAAGGGGACCCCGCGUGUCAGCGCGGCCCGCUCUCCCCUGCGGCCCUGGGUGCACCCAGCCCUCCCGCGCCGCCGCGUCCUGCCGCCCGGGGCUCCGCUCUCGGCGCAGGCUGGGUGUGAUCCGCGUGUCAGCCGCGGGGGCGCGGCAGCGAGCCUGGCGUGCGAACCCCGUGCAGACGGGAGUGCAAGCCUCGGCCGCGUGGCGUCUCACACUCGGAGUCGCUGCGCUCUCGGCAGAGCGGGAGCCUCAUUUACACCCACUCAGCCGAGUGCCUGUGUGCACGCGCGUGUGCGUGCGCAUGUGGCUUCCGCCUCUCCCGUCCGUGCCUGCGCUGCCAGCCUUCGGCUUCCUUCCUUCUUCUGCCCAGGGGCUGCGCUGUCUCAGCUGACCUGCGUUCCAGUCUCUCCAUUCCACCCAUUCUAAUCUGUUCCUCUCAGUUACAGUAAUUUCCAAAGUGUCCAUUUCAUUCUCCCAAUAUCCUCCUCUCUAUCGGUCUUUUCCCAUGAGCUUUUGUGUUCAUAUUUUCUUUCAGUCUUUUGUGUGUGGCUUCCUUUCAUUCCUUAGAGAUAUUUGGUAUUUGUCUCCCUGGGCACGGUUGUGUUCCCUAUAAUCCCGGCUUUUCAGGAGGCUGAGGCAGGAGGAUCACAAAUUCAGGCCAACCUAGGGAAUUUAGAUAGAUCAUGUUUCAAAAGUGAAAUUAAAGUCUGGAGGUGAGCUCCGUGUUAGAGUGCUCGCUUCAUGUGUGCAAGGAUUCAGUCACCAGGACGGGAAAAAAUCCUAAUAAGUCAGUGUUUGGGCUUCGUUCUGGACAUUUCUGUUCAUUACCGUUCCCUCUUGUGUAUUUUUCUUCGCAUCUCCCCAUGGCUCUUGACCCUGUUGGAAACGGUUGUGUAAAAUAACACGGUGCUGCCGCUCUGGGCAGCAGCUCCCCCGGCCUCUGCAGGGUGCGGUGCCUGGAGCAGCCGGGGCGAAUCUUCAGAGAGGAGGCCCGAAGUGCGACCCGAACACGCUUACGUAACACAAGCGCCACCGCUAUGAUUAAACCCGAAUGCUGAGGUUUUAGUCUGGAAGAAACAACUCACACCUGAGCACCCUGUGUCUUAGAAGAAGAACAAUGCUCGUGCCACAGGUGCCCACCGCUGGCUGCACACGCCCGCGCCCACUGUGUGAAGUCUGUGCUUCCUGCGCGUGGCCCUGCAGGCCGGACUCUGUGGGCUGGUGGCCAGCUCGGGACUGGACAGAGGUUUCUGAAGCCCCAGAUGCUACAGUUGCUUGGCCCAGGCAGCGGGCGCCUGGCCUGAGCCCUGGCCUCGUGGUGCAGGCCUCCGGGGCAGGCAGGAGGGCUGUGUGGAGCUCGUGCCGGCUUGCGCUUGCUCGGCUGCCAGCUGCCCAGCUGCUGUCCACGGUGCCGUGCCACAGGAAGGCAGGGAGAAGGGGCUCGGGCAGGCUGGGGACGGCCGGCCGGCUGCUCUUACCUGUGCUCCAGUACAGGCUGCCAACGGCCUCGAGCCUCCACAGAGCUCCGCAAAGCCGGCUCUCACCUUGUUUGCCAGUUUUACCGAUGCUUUUCUGGAGAAGGAACUGGAGAUCCCACUGCAGUUUUUGCCGAUGUCCUCACUGGCUUGGAGUUUAUGUUUAGGACCAGGAGUGGUUAACUUUACAGCAUGGUAUUGGCCAAGCUGGGCUCGGUCUCCUGCAUGGACAGCCGGCUCUGCUAACCUACUGUGGCUCCCGCUGUCCCCUGCCGACCUAUGCUGGCCUCAGCCUGGGGACCGGAAGGCCAUGGGCAGUGCUUCCACCUGGCUGCUCUCAAGACUUUGGUUGCUCUGGUUUCCUGCCUGGCGUGUCCUGCCUUGCAGGAGAGGCUGUGACUUUUAGAUCUCAAUACUGCAGUGUGAACAGCUCCAAGGGUGAACUUUCUACUAUGUGAACAGCAAAGUUUGAAAAAAGUCUCCUCGGUGUUCGUAUCCUUGCUCCGCAGUCAAACCCAGAGCCUGACUUGAGAACCCUGCAGGGGCCGGGAGCGAGUCACGCGUCGCGUCUCUCUGUGGACACAAAGGGUGACGCUUCCAUCUCAGUGCCGCUCGCCCAGAUGAUGUACAGCGCUGGAGUGCACGCAAACAUUCGCCGCUGUGCUUUAUUUUUGCGCGUUAUUUGUGUAAAAUAUCAUGACGGUGGCUACAGAGAAAGUUACUGCCAGUGGCGGUACAGCUGGGAGGAAACCUGAGGUCCAUCCAUGAUGGUCAGAGAAAUCACUGCGGACCUUGUUAAAAUCCUGGGGCAAUGAAUUUAUAUGUGUAAUUUUUGGGCCUCAGAACCAAUUCUUUGGCUUUCCAUUAUUUCUUAUGGGAAGAAUAUGUUCAGUUCUCCAGCUUUUUGGUGAUUGAACAUGAAUUUGGAAGGAACUCUACCUGUACGUUAGACCAUUUGUAUUUUACUUAGGUCCCUAAGAAUUUGUUUGUUGGUUUUCAAUCUCUUUUCUCUUUGCUCUUUCAAUGGAAUUACCUAUUAAAAUUUCGUUUUAUCUA